rnacentral:rRNA from 1 species
ACAUGUCCGCAUGAUUAAAGGUAUUUUCCGGUAGACGAUGGGGAUGCGUUCCAUUAGAUAGUAGGCGGGGUAACGGCCCACCUAGUCAACGAUGGAUAGGGGUUCUGAGAGGAAGGUCCCCCACAUUGGAACUGAGACACGGUCCAAACUCCUACGGGAGGCAGCAGUGAGGAAUAUUGGUCAAUGGGCGAUGGCCUGAACCAGCCAAGUAGCGUGAAGGAUGACUGCCCUAUGGGUUGUAAACUUCUUUUAUAAAGGAAUAAAGUCGGGUAUGCAUACCCGUUUGCAUGUACUUUAUGAAUAAGGAUCGGCUAACUCCGUGCCAGCAGCCGCGGUAAUACGGAGGAUCCGAGCGUUAUCCGGAUUUAUUGGGUUUAAAGGGAGCGUAGAUGGAUGUUUAAGUCAGUUGUGAAAGUUUGCGGCUCAACCGUAAAAUUGCAGUUGAUACUGGAUGUCUUGAGUGCAGUUGAGGCAGGCGGAAUUCGUGGUGUAGCGGUGAAAUGCUUAGAUAUCACGA